GACGAACGCUGGCGGCGUGCCUAAUACAUGCAAGUAGAACGCACAGUUUAUACCGUAGCUUGCUACACCAUAAACUGUGAGUUGCGAACGGGUGAGUAACGCGUAGGUAACCUGCCUGGUAGCGGGGGAUAACUAUUGGAAACGAUAGCUAAUACCGCAUAAUAUUGAUUAUUGCAUGAUAAUUGAUUGAAAGAUGCUAUUGCAUCACUACCAGAUGGACCUGCGUUGUAUUAGCUAGUAGGUGAGGUAACGGCUCACCUAGGCGACGAUACAUAGCCGACCUGAGAGGGUGAUCCGCCACACUGGGACUGAGACACGGCCCAGACUCCUACGGGAGGCAGCAGUAGGGAAUCUUCGGCAAUGGACGAAAGUCUGACCGAGCAACGCCGCGUGAGUGAAGAAGGUUUUCGGAUCGUAAAGCUCUGUUGUAAGAGAAGAACGGGUGUGAGAGUGGAAAGUUCACACUGUGACGGUAUCUUACCAGAAAGGGACGGCUAACUACGUG
rnacentral:rRNA from 1 species